rnacentral:rRNA from 1 species
GAUGAACGCUAGCGGCAGGCCUAAUACAUGCAAGUCGAACGGUAACAUUGGUGCUUGCACCAGAUGACGAGUGGCGCACGGGUGCGUAACGCGUAUGCAACCUACCUUUUACUAGAGUAUAGCCCAGAGAAAUUUGGAUUAAUCCUCUAUAACAUCUUUUAAUUUCAUGAUUUUAAGAUUAAAGUUUUAACGGUAAAAGAUGGGCAUGCGUCCUAUUAGUUUGUAGGUGAGGUAACGGCUCACCUAGACUACGAUAGGUAGGGGCCCUGAGAGGGGGAUCCCCCACACUGGUACUGAGACACGGACCAGACUCCUACGGGAGGCAGCAGUAAGGAAUAUUGGACAAUGGACGAAAGUCUGAUCCAGCCAUGCCGCGUGCAGGAUGACAGCCCUACGGGUUGUAAACUGCUUUUAUACAGGAAGAAACACUCCGACGUGUCGGAGCUUGACGGUACUGUAAGAAUAAGGAUCGGCUAACUCCGUGCCAGCAGCCGCGGUAAUACGGAGGAUCCAAGCGUUAUCCGGAAUCAUUGGGUUUAAAGGGUCCGCAGGCUGUUUUUUAAGUCAGAGGUGAAAUCCUACAGCUCAACUGUAGAACUGCCUUUGAUACUGGAAAACUUGAGUUAUUGUGAAGUGGUUAGAAUGUGUGGUGUAGCGGUGAAAUGCAUAGAUAUCACACAGAAUACCGAUUGCGAAGGCAGAUCACUAACAAUAUACUGACGCUCAUGGACGAAAGCGUGGGGAGCGAACAGGAUUAGAUACCCUGGUAGUCCACGCCGUAAACGAUGGAUACUAGCUGUUCGUCUAACAUUGGUUAGAUGAGUGGCUAAGCGAAAGUGAUAAGUAUCCCACCUGGGGAGUACGGUCGCAAGACUG